CUACGGGGCGCAGCAGUGGGGAAUAUUGCACAAUGGGCGAAAGCCUGAUGCAGCAACGCCGCGUGAAGGAAGAAGGUUUUCGGAUCGUAAACUUCUAUCAGCAAGGAAGAUAAUGACGGUACUUAACUAAGAAGCCCCGGCUAACUACGUGCCAGCAGCCGCGGUAAUACGUAGGGGGCAAGCGUUAUCCGGAAUUACUGGGUGUAAAGGGUGCGUAGACGGUAAUGUAAGUCAGGUGUGAAAGCCCGAAGCUCAACUUCGGGACUGCACUUGAAACUACAUAACUAGAGUACAGGAGAGGAAAGUGGAAUUCCUAGUGUAGCGGUGAAAUGCGUAGAUAUUAGGAGGAACACCAGUGGCGAAGGCGACUUUCUGGACUGUAACUGACGUUGAGGCACGAAAGCGUGGGGAGCGAACAGGAUUAGAUACCCCCGUAGUC
rnacentral:rRNA from 1 species